UACGUAGGGUGCAAGCGUUACUCGGAAUUACUGGGCGUAAAGCGUGCGCAGGCGGUUUUGUAAGUCUGUCGUGAAAUCCCCGGGCUCAACCUGGGAAUUGCGAUGGAGACUGCAAGGCUAGAAUCUGGCAGAGGGGGGUAGAAUUCCAAGUGUAGCAGUGAAAUGCGUAGAGAUGUGGAGGAACACCGAUGGCGAAGGCAGCCCCCUGGGUCAACACUGACGCUCAUGCACGAAAGCGUGGGGAGCAAACAGG
rnacentral:rRNA from 1 species